ensembl:lncRNA
CACACAUGCAUCAACACUACAAUGAGCGGGUGGAGGGAGGUUUGGAGUCUUCUCUCACCCCCAUUCUCUGCGACCUGCUGGAGCGGGGUCGGGGCGGUCUGCCUCCCCCCACUGCAGGGAAAAGGGUAACACCACCUGGGUCUGGGUGCAGUUCCCCCCUCCAGGGGCAAGGGUACCUGGACCCGGUUUGUAGAGUACGCUUGGGGAGUGUGAUCGUGUGUACAGAGUCUCUUUAUGUCUGUCUCCACGUUGGUUGAGUGUGGAGUAAGUGCAUAUGAGAGCAUGAGGGUGGGAAUGGAUGUUUGUGUCUGUGUGUGCCUGUAUUUCUGUGUCUAUAUGUCAGGUUGGGUGUCAGACGCCACCUCUCUGGGGACAUCUCAGGCCCUCCAAGGUUUGGAGGCCUAUCUCCCCCUACCACCACUUCCCCUGCCAGUGGCGGACUCCCUCAGACAUCGGUGCGUUGGUGGUUCUUUGUGUCUGGGGAUGGGCGUCCAGGUACAUACCGGCUCACUCCUUGGCGGCCGCUUAUCGGGGCCUGGAGCCUGGGGCUCGCUCGGGCCACUUCGGAGGUGGGGUGCCCCCGGCCUCUCGGCCUGGGGCUCGGUCACUCAGGCACAGCUGGCUGCCGGCGGAACUCACGGGCGCGUCACUGCAACCCCCCCUGGCUUCUGCUCCGCGGCUGCUGAGUGAGCCCUCAUCUGGGACUCUCCUCAGCUCUUUCUGGGACAGUGGUGCGGCUGCCCCUCUGUUGGUCUUCCUUGGUCUCUUGUGUUCUGGGGGCUUCUGGAUGUCUGGAGUUUUGAUCUCCUCCACACCUGCUUCAUGCCCUGGAGGACGGGGCUGUGGCUCCCCCACACCCUCUAGCAGAUCAUUACAUGAAGGAACCUUUAAAAAAAAAAAACAAGCGCGUCCAUGCUCACAGGUGUACACACGGGUGAUCACACCCAAAAACUACACCCUUUUUGGCUCCUACCUCAAAGCACACUGUGUUCUGUUGAUCUUAUGUGCUGCACAAUAAUGUUUAACAUUUAGUAUUUACUGUCAUAUUCCCAUAUAUCAUUGUGAUGUUGUUUAUUCUAUUACUCUUGUUCUCUUCUGCUUGUUUUCCUUUUUCUUUCUCAGCAGGUGAUCCAGGUGAUUGAUAUAUGCAUUUUUUUUUCUGCUCAUUCUGUUGGUUUUUGUCUUUUGCCCUUCUCCCCCGUCCCUCUUCUCAGCUGUUUCUCUUUCCCUCUUUCUUUCUCCCCUUCUUUCCCCCAGUCAAGUCUGUCCCGUAUUCAGUAAGUGAAAAUAAAAUAAACAAUAAAAGGUGAAUCAAAUGGACCAUUACGGCAAGGCUGGGAUGGUCAAUUUGGUAAAGUAAAUCCGUUGGGCAUCUUUCUUUGCCUUUAGACAAUAAUUCUGAGGGCAAAAGAACCAAACGGGACAGGCAAAAAAAAAAGAGAAAAAAAUAUAUAUUCUUGGCAGUGUCAUGUUUUGGCUGUGUGCAGGCAAGAGAAGGACCCAAACGCAAAACUCACCGAGACAAAAGUGAACUCAAAACACUGCUUUAUUGCAGGCUCGGAAAGGAAACAAAGAACAAAACCAAACUGGGGAAAACUACAAAUAACUCAUACAUGAAAACACAUGGCAAACCCCACAGCUAUGAGGGAGACUACAACACUGACAAAGAGAAACACAGGGCUUAAAUACACAGAGGGAUAACGAGGGAAUGAGACACAGAAGGAGAGCACAGCUGGGAGUAAUCAGGCUGGACGAGACAAGGGAAGCAAAACUAGAAUCACUGACAUGAGACACGGACCUUCAAAGUAAAACAGGAAACACACUGACUGAACUCUAGACAUGCAAACUUAACAGCAACUGAGAAGACAGAACAUAGGGACCUGAAACAUGGGACAGAAAGGCACAGUAGACACAACGUGGACAUAACAACGCCACAAGGAAAGAGUAAAACAAAACACAGAACCUCUUAGAAAAUAAAAUAGGAAACAUAAUGAAACGCAGACAUGACUACAUGAACUUGACAACAUAACAGACAUGAAACACAUGAAGGGCAAGGGAGACUUAACAGGGGUUGGAAGACACAAGGGGAAUCUAACAACAAAGAACUAGAAAAACUCAUGAGCUUAAUCAUAUAAACAUCCAAAUAAACUAAACUGAA